UCUCUAACCUAGGGCGUACAGAUGGCCUUCGGGACACUGUGGAUCUCCUGAAGUCAUUUCUGCACCUUGCUUGUGUCAGCUUGCAUUUUAGCAGAGACAGCAGUGAUCAGGCCUUCCAGGGAGUCUACACUGGAAAAAGAGAAUGCCACUCCCCCCACAGGUUUUUUAAAAAUUCAGCUAAAGAAGAAAAACCAUGUGAUUUAUCAAUGGGUGAAGAAAAGCAUGAGACAGAAUUCCAUACCCAUUUAUGACAAAAACUCUCAGCAAACCAGGAACAGAAGGGAACUUCCUCAACUUGACAAAGAGCAUCUGCCAACGACCCACAGCUCGUCUCAGCCCACUUGAUGAUUUCAGAGGUCCGCAGCAGGUGAGGCCCUGGAGUGCAUUUUAACGGGUGCUUCUACAGUGAGAAGUGCUCUGAGCCAGCUCGUUCACAAAAUAUGCAGGAGCGAAGUUGAGCAUGAAGGAGAAACGAUAGAAACACUCACAGGCACGCGGAGCAGACAACUACAGCCGACCCGUAGACUCACCCAGCGCCAGCCGCCGUGGGCUCGCUGUCCCGCUGGGAGGUCGAACACUUAGAUCCUCCCUUUCCUGACUCAGAUUUGACUUUUAAAUUCGUUUGCUCUCACCUGUUAUGUGGCCAGGCUUAUUAAUGCUUACAUGACCAGGCGAAUCUUUGUAAUCAGUGUCUGUUGACUUCCUGGUUUAAAUGCUGUGUGAAAAGAGAGCCUUUAUGCUGUUGCACACGCUUAACAAUAAACAUGGUGACUGCUUAAAAGA